rnacentral:rRNA from 1 species
CCUGUCGUGACUGCGGAGGAUCAUUACGAGUUUUGAACGAGUUGUAGCUGGCCUUCCGGGGCAUGUGCACGCUCUGCUCAUCCACUCUACCCCUGUGCACUUACUGUAGGUUGGCGUGGGCUCCUUUGCGGGAGCAUUCUGCCGGCCUAUGUAUACUACAAACACUUUAAAGUAUCAAAAUGUAAACGCGUCUAACGCAUCUAUAAUACAACUUUUAGCAACGGAUCUCUUGGCUCUCGCAUCGAUGAAGAACGCAGCGAAAUGCGAUAAGUAAUGUGAAUUGCAGAAUUCAGUGAAUCAUCGAAUCUUUGAACGCACCUUGCGCUCCUUGGUAUUCCGAGGAGCAUGCCUGUUUGAGUGUCAUGGAAUUCUCAACUUAUAAAUCCUUGUGAUCUAUAAGCUUGGACUUGGAGGCUUGCUGGCCCUUGCGGUCGGCUCCUCUUGAAUGCAUUAGCUCGAUUCCGUACGGAUCGGCUCUCAGUGUGAUAAUUGUCUACGCUGUGACCGUGAAGUGUUUUGGCAAGUUCUAACCGUCCAUUAGGACAACUUUUUUAACAUCUGACCUCAAAUCAGGUAGGACUACCCGCUGAACUUAAGCAUAUCAAAAGGCGGAGAGAAA